UACGUAGGUGGCAAGCGUUGUCCGGAUUUACUGGGCGUAAAGAGCGCGCAGGCGGUCGUUCAAGUCGCGUGUGAAAGCCCCCGGCUCAACUGGGGAGGGUCACGCGAUACUGAUCGACUCGAAGGCAGGAGAGGGAAGUGGAAUUCCCGGUGUAGUGGUGAAAUGCGUAGAUAUCGGGAGGAACACCAGUGGCGAAGGCGGGUCUCUGGACAGUUCCUGACGCUGAGGCGCGAAAGCUAGGGGAGCGAACGGG
rnacentral:rRNA from 1 species